rnacentral:rRNA from 1 species
GACGAACGCUGGCGGCGUGCUUAACACAUGCAAGUCGAGCGAGAAAGCACCUUCGGGUGUGAGUACAGCGGCGAACGGGUGAGUAACACGUGGGCAACCUGCCCCAAAGACCGGGACAACGUCUCGAAAGGGACGCUAAUACCGGAUGUGGUGUGACCUGCCAAGCGGGUCACACUAAAUGGUAGCUUCGGCCUCCGCUUUGGGAUGGGCCCGCGCCGGAUUAGCUGGUUGGUGAGGUAACGGCUCACCAAGGCGACGAUCCGUAGCUGGUCUGAGAGGACGAUCAGCCACACUGGGACUGAGACACGGCCCAGACUCCUACGGGUGGCUG